UACGUAGGGGGCGAGCGUUGUCCGGAUUUAUUGGGCGUAAAGAGCGUGUAGGCGGCCAGGUAGGUCUGCUGUGAAAACUCGAGGCUUAACUUCGAAACUGCAUUCGAUACUGCCGUGCUAGAGGACUGGAGAGGAGACUGGAAUUUACGGUGUAGCGGUGAAAUGCGUAGAUAUCGUAAGGAAGACCAGUGGCGAAGGCGGGUCUCUGGACAGUUCCUGACGCUGAGGCACGAAGGCCAGGGGAGCAAACGGG
rnacentral:rRNA from 1 species